AAUGAAAAAUGAUAGACUGAUUAUUAUUAAUAAAAAUAGUGAGGAAAAUAGUGCUAUUCUAUUUUUUCUUUU
rnacentral:tRNA from 1 species